rnacentral:rRNA from 1 species
GACAGAGGUCCCGAGCGUUAGGCGGAAUCACUGGGCUUAAAGCGUGUGUAGGCGGACGUCUAAGUACCUUGUGAAAUCCCGCGGCUCAACCGCGGAACUGCUUGGUAUACUGGACGUCUUGAGCCAGCUAGGGGCUACCGGAACAAAUGGUGGAGCGGUGAAAUGCGUAGAUAUCAUUUGGAACGCCAAUGGUGAAAACAGGUAGCUGGGGCUGUGCUGACGCUGAGACACGAAAGCCAGGGGAGCAAACGGG